rnacentral:rRNA from 1 species
GAUGAACGCUGGCGGUAUGCUUAACACAUGCAAGUCGAACGGACUCUUCGGAGUUAGUGGCGGACGGGUGAGUAACGCGUGAGAAUCUGGCUUUGGGUUCGGGACAACCACUGGAAACGGUGGCUAAUACCGGAUGUGCCGAGAGGUAAAAGAGAAAUUGCCUGAAGAUGAGCUCGCGCCUGAUUAGCUAGUUGGUGAGGUAAAGGCUCACCAAGGCAGCGAUCAGUAGCUGGUCUGAGAGGAUGACCAGCCACACUGGGACUGAGACACGGCCCAGACUCCUACGGGAGGCAGCAGUGGGGAAUUUUCCGCAAUGGGCGAAAGCCUGACGGAGCAAUACCGCGUGAGGGAAGAAGGCUCUUGGGUUGUAAACCUCUUUUCUUAGGGAAGAACAAAAUGACGGUACCUAAGGAAUCAGCAUCGGCUAACUCCGUG